rnacentral:lncRNA from 1 species
CCUCCCUACACCGAGGCAGCUGGGAGCAGGCCCAAGCUUCGCAGCUCUCUGAGCAGGCCCUGCUUGUCUCUCCACCUGAGGGCCGUGUCCUCUGUGGCAUGGACCGGCAGCAGCAGAGCUCAGGGCAAAGUGGAGGACAGGAUGUAACCAGGAGGUGAGCAGGCUCCCUGGGGGGCACUGGGCAGAGUCUCACAGGUGGGCCCAGCCCCUCGGCAGAGGCAGAGUCCUCCCAACAGCCCGAGGUAUGCAGGAGAGCCACCCCAGGCACACCCGGCUGGGACACUUCACCCAGGCAGAUCCCCAGGGCAGGACCUGAGGACGGACCCCAUCUGGGGUCUCAGGAUCAUAGGAGCCCUUCCUACCCCUGGUCACUCUGAGCCCUGACCCUGGUCACACUGAGCCCUGAUCCUGGUCACUCUGAGCCCUGACCCUGGUCACACUGAGCCCUGAUCCUGGUCACACUGAGCCCUGACCCUGGUCACUCUGAGCCCUGACUCUGGUCACUCUGAGCCCUGACCUCACUGCAUACGCCACUGGCACAGGCCUUGGCCUCAAGGGCCUGGCUCUGAGAAGCAGAGGUCCACAGUGUGGCCACUGGGCUCACUCGUGGCAGGGUACGGCCUGGGCCUCCACAGUGGUCCCCACACUGUCCUGGGCCCAGCUCCAUCCUGGGUCUGCGCCCUGCCCUGCCCACCUACCCGUGCUCUGCGUCCCGCUGGAGGGCCGGGCAGAGUGACUCAGCAGGCUCCUCCUAGCUUUAUUUUUGUCUCCAUGGAGCCCUAUAAAUACAGCAAUGGUUGCUGUCAAUAUCCCCAUGUCUCCGCCCCUGCUGCUGGCCCGAUGCCAGGGGGUGGUGUGGAGCCAGGUCAGGGUGGACCUGAGGCAGAGGCCAGGUGCUCCUGGGAGGCAGAGAGCCUCAGCCUGGACCCACUGGUGACCCGCGCCCUUGGUGCCCUUGGCACUCUUGGUUACAGAGCAAAGCACAAGUCACGCGUUUCCUCAUGCUGGAGACGCAACAUCUUCCUGCCUGAGAAGUGAGGGGACCGUCCAGGUGUGUGUGGUCCAGCCCCCACCAUGUCCUCUUCGGAAGGGGCGGGCUUUGCUGGUGUCCUGGCUGCUCCCAGUGCAGAGCUGCAUGGAUGACAUGGAUGACGAGCCCAAGGGCUUGGGGUGAAGGGGCGGCGUGGGGUGGGGGCACUGCAGUUCAUCAGAGUACUCCCUGCCCUCCGUGGCCUGGCACCAGGACAAGGCAGGGACAGUCCCCAGCCACCUGUGGACCAGAGGCCUCCCACACCUGUCAGGCACAGGAGGAAAGUGGAGGAUGGCAACCCUGGAGAGGCUGGCAGAGGCCCUGCAGUGGGACCCAACCCUCGUGGCACUGAUGCCUGUGCCAAGCCCACAUGUGCAGUCUCGGGUGCCAGUUCCCUACCAGGAGCUGAGGCCCGAGAGAUGGAGCCACUGGCUCAGGUUGCAUGGUGAGGAGGCUGGGCCCUGUACCCAGGCCUCCUCCACCCCCUGAGGACAAGGCUCCAGCACCCCUGAAGCCACAGCUGGCCUGGGGCCAGUGCGGUCACUCAGCAUAGGCCAGAUGCUGCCAUGCUGGGCGCUCCUGAGCCUCUGCCCACGAGGCUUGGCAGCCUCCCUCCUGGCCCCUUGUGCCCUCUACCCACCUGGGAAUCAGCAGACACAGGUCUCUGUGCUAGAAGAUGGCACCUCGCCAACACCUCCAGGUGGGUCACACCCUCGAGUCCUAGGUGAGGGAUGGAGGGGAGGUUGGGGUACGCUGGUGCGCUUGUAAAGCCAAAAAGGCGGGAGGUCAGGAGCCAGGGAACAAGAAGGAGGCACCCAAAGGAGGUUUGCUAGGGGUGCUCCUGGGCGAGGUGCGCCAUCUGCAAGGGGGUGGGGGCGGAGAAGACGGGGUGGGAAAGGCAGGAAUAGUGCUAAUAAGGGAAACCAGGGGUGGGGGUCUGGGACAGCAGGUUGGCCCAGCCGGGUUUAGGGACAUUGUCUGUCGCGGUUGGGUCAGGCCUGAUGUAAGGUGACAGGGCGAUUGCUUCAGCUGGCGGGAACCCUGAUGAUUGGGGUCGGUUGUCAGGUCAGCUUCUGAUUGGCCAAUGUGGGUCUUAGCCAGGUGGAAAGUCCCGCCCACAGCUGCCAUGGAAGGAAAGAGGGAAGGGACGGCUUUGAGCCAACACCACUGGGUCUCAGCUCAGAGAAGGCUCUAGGCCCUGCUGUGCAGCCCCACAGGGUGCAGAGGAGCUAAGAGGCCCCGUGGCCCUCGGUGGGUGGACGUGGUGAGCCCCUGCCCUGCCCUGCUGGGCUUCCCUGGGGCUGCUCUGGCUCCAGCUUAGGGCAUUGUGGCCAGUGGGCCCUGCACCUGUCCUGCCUGGUGACAGGGGCACCUUGAAAGAACAGGGCUCCUCAGGACCCUCUCGCAGCUGCCCACUUCACACCUGGGGAGCAGGCCAGGUGCAUGCUGGCUGCAAGACCCAGCUGCUCCAGGUCAGGGUGCAGACAGAUGGUUAAGGGGCGGGGGUGGGACACUGAGUCAUACUCUGCUUCUCCAAGUGGCACUCUCACCAGGGGACCAGGGGCUGUCUGUCCUGACCACCAGCCAGUGGACCCAGAUCUGCCACCCUGCAGGUGACACUGACCAUUAAGAGACAGAACCACUGCCAAAGCCCCCCUUUGCAGAUGGGGAAGGACUAGGAAAUGCCAAUGGUGCUGAGGACCCGGGGCUGCUCGGUGCGGCUGGGUUGGGACCCCCUGGCCUCCCUUCCCAACACUGAAUACCAUCUGGGGCUCGGUCCCCUAGUCUGGGGCAGGGACUUGUUUCUCCCAUGGCCCUGCUGGGCCAGGCACAGAGCAGAUGCUCUGCUGGGUGGAGCUGUGCUCGUCUGCCCCAGGGACCCGCUAUACUGCCUGCCCCUACUAAACUGGGGCACCUUCUCCUUUGUAAUAUCUGUGGGCUCUUUUCCUCCCACCCUGGUGAAAAUAGAGGGCCAUGCGUGGUCAUCUGCAUGGCCAAUGCCAGGCCAGCUUCCCACAAAAUGCCCCAUGCCCCUCUCACUCUGACUACUCCCUGCAGACUGGCAAGGGAGCAGCCCCCUGCUGCCCAGUCUAGAUGACCUAAUCAUGGCUCCCAUCACAUCCUAGGGGCCAGAAGUACUUGUCCAUCCAGGCGCCAGGGAUAUCCUGUUCCCUUGCAGGGGGCCCAUCAAGCUCAGAAGGCGAAGGCUUUUAGGAUCAGGAAAACUGUCCCUCAGCCUCACCCAUUUGUUCCUUGAACCAUUUUCUAAUCCAGGGGCAAAUGUCAGGGGUAGUAAAGGGACAGUUGGGGUCUCUGGUCCAGAGAGAGAUAGCACAGCUGGGGGAGCAGAUGGGACACCAAGGGUAGGGGAGGUACUGUCUGAAGCAGUAGGGACCUCCGCCCCUGGGGUCUUUCCGCAACCUGGUGAGGAGGGAGCACCUUAGACUGGAGCCAGGAGCACCAGUUCUGCCCCUACUGCUCAGUGACCUUGUGAGCCACUUCCUGCUCCAGACCUUGGUCUCCUCCAGGUGUUCUGGGGAUCUCCAAGCUCCUUUCUGGCUCAGCCUCUGGAAUCCGUCGUUCAUUCACUCCACAGUUACAUAAUAAAAAAUAACAGGUGUCAGUUGCCACCAAGGAUACCCAGUUUGGGGUGGGUGACAGUGUGGAGCAGGUGGCAGGCGAGAGAGCUAGCUGCUGUGAGCGAGGUUGGGACCCUGGGCAGGAUGGGAUCCCAGCAUGACAGGUGGCCUGGGGCAGCUGCUGGUGGGCCUUGUGCGUCCGGCCAAGUCAGAGGAGGUGCUGAGGCGAGCUGCGCAGGGUCCCAUGUGAGCAGGACGGUGCUCUGCACAGGAAAGGCAGGAGACCGGAGGCAGCCUCUGCUACCGCAAUGAUCCCUCCUACUUCAUCAGCCAGGAGGUGGGAACCUCACGGUCGAGUUGUGCCCACUCAGCACUGUCCUGAGCUUUCGGCUGGGCUGUGUGCUUGCUGGGGAGGAAGCCCCUGGAAGUACAAACUGUUGUGAUUUUGCAAAAUGCUUCUCUCUCUGAUUUUUAUCUUCACUCAUUAGCAUCUCAUUACCACUUCCCUGUGUGCAGUGGUAGGGGUGCUUCCAAUUCCUGAGGUGGGUACGGGUUGACUUGUGACAGUGAAGUCAGCUCUUGGACCCUGAGUUUGCUGGGGCGGGGGCUGGGACUUAGGGUGGAGCUCAGUGGUAGAGCUCUUCAAUCCCUAGCACUGAGGGAAAAAAAAGACUCUGCUUGUGCAGGACUGCAUUGUGCUCACCUAGAGGGAGUGGAAAGGGAAAGAAACAGAGAGGGCUGGGGUAGAUCCACACUGUUCCUCUUGGCAAACUCCUACUGAUCCUUCAGCACCCAGUCCAAAUGCCUCUUCUCUGGGAAACUUCUCCAGUUCUUGGAGAGAAUAUGGCAUUUCCUCAUACAACCUUCUAACGACAGACUUGUGGCCCAGUAAGUGAUUCCUUUGGAUCAUCUGUCCUCUCUUGCUCCUUGAUACCCUGAGGGCAUUGUCCCAUGUUUUUAGCUCUGGUGACUGGCAUUGAUGCUUGAAGUCUACUCAAGGGCUGGGGAUGUGGCUCAAGCGGUAGCACACUCGCCUAGCACUCGCCUGGCAUGCGUGUGGCCCGGGUUCGAUCCUCAGCACCACAUACAAACAAAGAUGUUGUGUCUGCCGAAAACUAAAAAAAAAAAAAAAAAAAAAAAAAAAAAAAGAUAAAUGAAGUCUACUCAAGAUAUGACACAUACGCCCUGGGGUACCCAUUGUGGCUCACAUGGUUCCAGGGCUCUCAGUGGGCCUGGCCGUGUGCAAAGGGAUCUUUAGGUCUCUCUGGCACUCGAACCUCAUGUCAGCUCCAUAGCAAUGGCAGCUCCACAGUCUGCCCAUACAGGUGAGGAAGUGGCUGUUCAGGGCAGACGUCUGAUGUGCAGGUCACUAAGCAGGACACUGUGGGAGCAGGGGUCACGGCACUUCUUGCCCUGCAAGGGUUGGCUGGUGGCUCAGCUGGAGGAAGUGGAAGAGCAGGAAAGGGGGAGAUGCAGCCAUCUCUCCCAAAGAGAGAGGAAUAAUACACCCUGAUUCCAGGGCACCUUGGAAGAACUGGGGUUGGAGACACUGGCUAAAUUAAUCCUGGUGAGAAGAUGCUAGUCCUCGGCCCUUCAUGAACCAGACGCUCCUGCACCAGGACCGUGAGAAAGAGGGCUUGCCCUACUCAGCCCUCCCCCUGAGCACUCACCAGGUUCCCUGAAGGAGUCCAGAGCUCAAGAACAGCCUUCCCCUCCAUUUCUGCUCCCCACCCAGGGAUAAGGUGCAUCAUUGCCUGCAGACCUGGGUUGCCCACAGGAGAUGUAGAAGGUAGCUGCUGUCUCUCCUGAGCCCUGUGGCACUGCCUGCCAUUUGCAUCUUCUCCUCCCCCCUCACCUUCCAGCUCCCACUCAUUGGUCCUCUGUGAUGGAGAGUCCCCUCCUUCCUGAGCCCAUAAGUGGAUGCCUGGAGCUCAGGAAGAUGGAUUUUAUGAUUUGGAUAUAAGGUGUUCUCCAAAAGCUCCUGCAUUAAUGCAGGAAUGUGAAAUGAUUGGAGUGUGAGAGCUAUAAGCUAAUCAGUGCAUAGUUUGAAUGGGACUGACUUGGAGGUAUGUGGGGAGCCACUCUGAUUGACCCAUGCCUGAGGCCCUGACCGAUCACUACAUUUCGUAGUGACUUGAGCGUUGUCCCAGAUCAGGAAGUUGAGGGCAUGUCUUCAGAUGUAGGUGUGUCACUCAUGGGCUUGAGCUACACUCACCUGUUAUUUUGUAAUCCUACCCCUUUGCCCUGUUUGGGAUAGAAUGUUCCAUGGAAACUCCCUUUGUGUGUCCCCUUCUCUUGCUCUGCCUUUGGGUGUGGCCUUCCUAGAUGUCAGUCAACCUGCUGACAGCAGACAUCACAAGGCUAGACUCAACCCCCUGAAACCUGGCCCCUUGCCUCAUUUGAAUGGCUUCUCCUCAAUAAAAGGGCUCAGCUCGCACGCUCUCUCCCUCUCUCUCUCUCUCUCUCUCUCUCUGCAGACCCCUAAGGUCAGAGGAGCCGUCACAGGACCCAAAGGAAAAGGAAUCUCUGUCUCUUGUGUGAUUAUUUCGUGCAGCCCAGUUCCUCUGGAGUGACCCUGGGUGUUAGUCUCGAGGAAUGUGACGGAGGUGACUGUCGGCAGAUGGGGUGUGGCUGGAGGAGUCAAAAACUGAGAUGUGCCCUAGAAGAGGGCGUCUUCCUUGCAGCUCCUUACCUCUCCCCAUCUCUCCUCCUGACCCUGACAGGAG